rnacentral:rRNA from 1 species
UACGUAGGGGGCAAGCGUUGUCCGGAAUCAUUGGGCGUAAAGCGCGUGUAGGCGGCUCGGUAAGUCCGCUGUGAAAGUCCAGGGCUCAACUCUGGAAUGCCGGUGGAAACUGUCGAGCUAGAGUCCGGAAGAGGCGAGUGGAAUUCCUGGUGUAGCGGUGAAAUGCGCAGAGAUCAGGAGGAACACCGGUGGCGAAGGCGGUUCUCUGGGCCGUACCUGACGCUGAGGAGCGAAAGCGUGGGGAGCAAACAGG